rnacentral:lncRNA from 1 species
UCCCAAGCUUCCCUUGUUGUGUAACACCUGUCACUUCCUCUCUCCUGUGGGAUCCGCUGCCCAAGCCCUCUACUGACUCCUGCCCUCACCAAUUGCUGACCACGGUGGGUGUGCCAGGUAGGGAAUGGCUAUGGCCCUCUUGUCUCAGGAAAUCCCACAGUUGCAGCCUUGAUUCUGGCACCUGCCUCCUGCACAGGCCCAGGUGGCCUUCCUGCACAACCUCUGCUGCACAGGAGCUGGGUGGCAACCCGACUCUGGGGUGGUGGUUACCACUGCAGCACGGUCUUGUGUCUGCUGCCUUUCUCCUCCAAGCCUCUUUCUGCCUCCUGACACCUCUCUAAUCUUUACUUUCAAAAUCAUAGUCGGGCUGGAAGAUGACUUAGCAGGUGAAAGGGAAGACCUGACUCCCUUGCAAGUUGUCCUCUGACCUCCACACGUGCCAUGGUGCCACGGUGCCACACCCACACAAGUAAGUCUUUAAAAAUUGCUUUAAACAUUGUGCUAUUCUCCAGGAUCACAGAAUGCUGAACAACCCGCCCCUCUCGUGUGCCCAUCUACAAAUUAGGCAUCACAGUAGCAUGCGUGCCUCCUUUCCCAGAUACAAGAGAGGCUGCGGGGUUGGGGAUUUAGCUCAGUGGUAGAGCACUUGCCUAGGAAGUGCAAGGCCCUGGGUUCGGUUCCCAGCUCCCCACCUCCGAAAAAAAGAACCAAAAAAAAAAAAAAAGAGAGAGAGAGAGAGGCUGCUGGGGCUGGAGGAGAUUAUCCCUUUUUACGAGCUAGAUGGGGUUCUCUGCUCCCAUCAAAAAGGUAACCAUGGGAGCUGGAGAGAUGGCUCAAUGGUUAAAAGCAAUGACUGCUCUUCCAGAAGUCCUGAGUUCAAAUCCCAGCAACCACAUGGUGGCUCACAACCAUCUGUAAUGAGGUCUGAUGCCUUCUUCUGGUGUAUCUGAAGACAGCUACAGUGUACUUAUAUGUAAUAAAUAAAUCUUUAAAAAAAAAUAAAAAA